ACCUUAAUGAUUCCAUGAUUCUACGAUUCUAUGAUUUGUAGAGCGAUGGAGAGAGCCAGGGCAGGCUGGGAACGUGGCAGUAGUGCCGUGAAACCCAGCAUUUUGCAGGACACAUCCAGCACUCUGCUUCUUGCAGGCUUUGCUGUGAGCACUGCAGCAGUGUAUGGAAGCUGUGCCUUGCGUGAGCUGCAGACUCUUAGGUCAGCUGGCACUGGAGCUGUGUGGAGCCUCUUCUUAUUUCUAAACCACUUGCAGACCGAGAAGUAAGAAAUUCCUACUAUCAGAAAUGAGGAGAAAAUAGACCUAUUAGGUCCAGUAAUCUGUUACCCUUGCCAAUGCAGUGUGUUCUCUCCGGAGACCUAUCAAGUGCCUCGUUCAGCACAGUUUUAGCUAUUCAAGUGAUGCUGCUUCCACUGUGUCCCGUGGGAGACCUCUAGGAACACUCUACAAGACAAAGGCAUCUUUCCAAUUUCAGCCCGUGGUUUUCAUUGCUCUACCCCGUCUCCCGGUGCUCGCUCAUCCUUAAACCUUGUUACAUCUGACCACUGCGGUGCUCCUGCCUUCCAGCGCUGCUGGUGCUGGGCUGGAGCCAUUGAUUGGGUCAGCGGGGCGUGUUGGGUGAGCUUGUGUCAGCUCCUGAUGCUCAGCAUUUGCAUUCUGCUGCUGCCCGCAGGUUGGUCCCCACCGGUCAGACCCCCACGCCUUGGUCCCAGGACCUCCAGCCCCCAGAGCAGCUCCGUUUCCGGGCUGGGCCCGGCACUGCCAGCAGCAGUUCCCUGAUGGAAGAGGGUGCUUUUCUUCCUGCUCUAACUUACAUUUUUAUUGCUGCUUACCUGGGAGCAGGGGCUGACACCCACUUUGCCACAACCUCCUCUCUGCACAUGCGGCCAGCACCAGAGCACCUAUGGGGGCCAUACAGUGAUGCUGUGGCCUCUGCAACAAAGUGGGAUUUGGUGACAGCUGCAUCUAUCCAGUGAUAGAUAUCUUUUUGGUGAUAGCUGCCACGUGGGUUACGGGCUUUUGUUUCCCUCUUUUUCUUUACAGGCACUGAAGAUUAGUAUUUUGGAAAAAUCCAACACAUGUUAAUACCGUGACCUGCAAGGUUAGCGUCAAUAGAGAUGGGUUGGUGAUCUUUAAAAGGAGAUUUUCUCAGGGUGAAGGACAAACAUGACAUAAGAGUCAUCAUACUCCCCAUCUGACAAGGACACAUAAAUUGUAAAUGGUCAGGGGCACAGAGAUCAGGCUGUGUUUCCUCCAGACGCUUCUCCACCGGCACAGGGACUGCCACCUCUCAUCUGCACCUUGUGCCACGUGCUCUUGGGGAGAGGAACAAUUAAUUGCUGCUCCUGGUGCCCACUGUUGCCCGUAGGUGGGAGUGCAGAGCUGGGCUGCAAGGCUGAGGAGUGCCAGGGUCCAGUCCCAGACUCUUUACACCUCAGGCACCCCACUGGCUCCAGGGAGGUCAGGUGGCCCCAGUCCUUGUCCCCAGUGGGGACAGCGUUCAUAUGAAACCAGUACUGCACCGGCUUGGCGAGCCUCAGGAAACUGGGCAAAGCGCGGCUCCCACUGCACCACUGUACAUCUGUGGGAACCUCAUGGGACUGAGGAACAUCGCUGGAUUGGGUCUAUAUAGGAACCUCAUUGGAUUGGUUCUGUAUAUGAACCUCAUCAGAUUGGCACUGUGUAGAACCUCACUGGAUUUAUCCCAUCUGAGCAAGAGCAUGACUGAGAUGAGUUUAGUCAUUGAACUGCAAUUAAGAGCGAGAAGGCAAUCAGCAUGCACACAGAGCCUGGAGUUGUGCAGAGGGAGGAUGCUCAUUCCUACUGAUCUGGUGAGGAGCUUCUGCCUAUGGGUGCAGUACCCUUUGCGCAGCCAGAAGAAAUCCAGUAAAAACCUGGGUGCUGUUCCUCACAGGAGACCUUCAGAUGUGUCACAUUCAGCGAGCAGCAGUGUUCCGAAGUGUUGCUGUAAGAGUUUUGAAGUUCCCCUGCCUGUAAAUUAAAGUGUCUGCAAGUGCUCACAGUUCUCAGACAGUCGCUACUCACAGCACAUGGCUAAGAUAAUCACGGGGAAUUCCGUGCAAAAUAUUCCUCAUUUUUUGUAACCUGCUCAUUCAUGUGCUUGUUUAGACAGUCGCUUGCAUUCAAUUAAGAACAUUUCAAUUUACCUUUUAAGAAUUUGUACCGGCAUAAAGUAGUUGGAGAGAUGUGGAUGUUCCCAGUAUCCCUGAGCAACCAGCACCAGCAGCCCUGGGUUAGAUUUAUGUGCACCGGAUUAAAUGACCCUUUCCUGAGAAGAAAGGAAUCGACUGAGCGGGAAACAAAGAGCAAGCGGGGAGAGCAGAACUUCUGUCCCCCUCUGCUCGUGCUCCGCAAACUGCGGGGAGAGGCCGAGCAGAAGCGCGGAGCGCGAGCAGAGUGCCCCUGCCCAGCAGGGCUGCGAGCCCCGCGCAGAGAGGUGGGAGAAAUCCUAGCCUUGAGAGGAACAAAACCAUGCCAAGUGCCACUUUGCUAUCGAAAUAUUGCCUCCGUCCUCAGCGUAUGUAGAAGUGUGUGCACCUUAUCGCAGUCUGGUGAAUGUCUCAUCCGUGUGUGUGCGCAUCUAUGAGCAUUUUCUGAUGAAUCCCAUCAGAGCGCAUUGUGGUGCACAUUACCAGAUCCGGCAACGUAGCAAUGCUAUCCACAUUUAAUUAGUAAGACGUUUCUUCUCCGUGCGUAUUUACUUGAAUUCCUGUUCCUACGGCAACCCGGCAGCAGCGCAGCGCCGGGAGCAGCCUGGAAGGGCACGGCGAUGAGCGGGCGCGCUCGGUGCGAAGAUGGUGCUGCAAAGCACGGGCUCGGCCGGGGCAGCGUCACAAAGGCGGCUCAGAGCAGCUCCUGUUUCACAGAGCCCAUUGAUAGCGCGCCCGGUUUGUGCUUGUUCACGGGUACCCGUAGCACACGGGCUGGGAGAGACGGCUCGCUUAGCGCUGAGCUCUCAGUAAUUGGCUAUCAGCUCAGAUCUGCAAUCCGGCGGGUGUAAUUCAGGCGCGCAGGACGCGGCUCUGCGGACACGGCCAUACAUCACCUCGGCACCCGAGGCGCAGGCACGGCCGCUGUGCGGUGCGUCCCCGGCUCACACCUCCCCUCCGUCCUUCCCCGGGAGCAGUGAGCGAACGAACCAGUUGCACGUCUGCACUGAGCAAGCCGAAGCAUGAAUCCCGAAGGCGUGAGCGGAAACAAAGAGCACAACGUUUCGGAGGCACCUGACAGAGCUCAAUGCCUCAGCUGCUGGCAGGCCAUGGCUUUCGGAAGGUCGGACGGCGAGCGGCGCGGUUCCACCAGGCAGGGCAGCCCGCCCCAUUGGGGGUCCAGCAGCGCCCACCCCCAGCUGGAGUCGCCGGAGCGGACAGGAGCUGCCGGAGCGGGGCUGCGCUGUGCCGAGGAGCUCCGAGCCGAUUGUUUUAAUACCAGAGUGACACCAAAGGGGGUCAAGUAAAUAAAUAUGCAUGCCUCACUAGUUCAAAAUAAUAAAAUUCCAAUGUGUGCAA